rnacentral:rRNA from 1 species
AUACGGAGGGUGCAAGCGUUAAUCGGAAUUACUGGGCGUAAAGCGCACGCAGGCGGUCUGUCAAGUCGGAUGUGAAAUCCCCGGGCUCAACCUGGGAACUGCAUUCGAAACUGGCAGGCUUGAGUCUCGUAGAGGGGGGUAGAAUUCCAGGUGUAGCGGUGAAAUGCGUAGAGAUCUGGAGGAAUACCGGUGGCGAAGGCGGCCCCCUGGACGAAGACUGACGCUCAGGUGCGAAAGCGUGGGGAGCAAACAGGAUUAGAUACCCUGGUAGUCCACGCCGUAAACGAUGUCUACUUGGAGGUUGUGCCCUUGAGGCGUGGCUUCCGGAGCUAACGCGUUAAGUAGACCGCCUGGGGAGUACGGCCGCAAGGUUAAA